UCCACUCAAUACUGUAAGUCGCUCUGGAUAAGAGCGUCUGUUAAAUUACAAAAU
rfam:Salmo salar isolate Sally breed double haploid chromosome ssa22, whole genome shotgun sequence.